rnacentral:rRNA from 1 species
CAAUAGCGUUUAUUUAAGUUGCUGCAGUUAAAAAGCUCGUAGUUGGAUUUCGGGUGGGAAUGGCCGGUCCGCCGUUUCGGUGUGCACUUGCUACGCCCACCUUGCUGCCGGGGACGUGCUCUUGAGUUCACGCUCGGGACACGGAGUCGGCGAGGUUACUUUGAGUAAAUUAGAGUGUUCAAAGCAGGCCUACGCUCUGAAUACAUUAGCAUGGAAUAACACGAUAGGACUCUGGCCUAUCUUGUUGGUCUGUAGGACCGGAGUAAUGAUUAAGAGGGACAGUCGGGGGCAUUCGUAUUUCAUUGUCAGAGGUGAAAUUCUUGGAUUUAUGAAAGACGAACUACUGCGAAAGCAUUUGCCAAGGAUGUUUUCAUUAA